GGAGAAGAAGAAAUUGAAAACUUGACAGAAUCUAAAAUUCAAAUUCAAAUUCAGAGUCAAAAUCAAAGUGCUUAUCUAAAGUACGAAAACAAAUUCACCCAUCCAAAACCAACUCAGAUCGAAUCGAAUCAAGCAACAAUAGCAAAAGAUAAAAAAUUUACUUAAACGACUAUCACAUAUUCAAAUCGAACUAGAUCAACUUAAGUUACUACUAAAUCAUACUCAAUACUCAUACUUCCAUAUCCAGAAAAUUCUAGAGAAAGUGUGUGUGUAAGAGAGAGAGAGAAAAAGAGAAGGUACUUGAAGAGUACGGGUGGCAAAUUCGACACCAAUGGUAGACUUAGACUCCAAACAGAACUCGUUGCGAGUAAAUCGGGAGAGAAGAUUGGAUUUUCCUACGCCAGAAUCGCCAAUUAAUACAACCUUGAAGAGGUAAUCGUAUUCCUCGUCCGGUCUCCUCGCCAUUU
rnacentral:misc_RNA from 1 species